AAGGCACGGUAAGAAAAUAACAAAAAUUCACAAUCGCUGCAACAAUAAAACGACACUAGAAUUCAAUAAUCCCCAGUAAGUUAAAUAUUUUACGAACUAUGUCAAAUCUCGAGUAACUCAAAGAAAAACUUACCUCUUGCGGUUGGCCUGUGUUGCUUUCUUCGCCUGUUGCCGCCGCCUGUUCUGAUGGCACUAAGAAAUGAACCAAAAGCUUUACUAUUCUUCUGUAAGUACCAGCCAGCAAUGAAUGCAAUACAAAUACAUGGAAAUAAAUGCUCAAGGAAUCAAGGCACGGUAA